GGGGCCGUAGCUCAGUUGGUAGAGCACCUGCUUUGCAAGCAGGAUGUCGUGGGUUCGAAUCCCUUCGGCUCCACCA
rnacentral:tRNA from 1 species